UACGGGGGGAGCAAGCGUUGUUCGGAUUUACUGGGCGUAAAGGGCGCGUAGGCGGCCACCGCAAGUCGGUUGUGAAAUCUCUGGGCUUAACCCAGAAAGGUCAACCGAUACUGCGGGGCUAGAGUGCAGAAGGGGCAACUGGAAUUCUCGGUGUAGCGGUGAAAUGCGUAGAUAUCGAGAGGAAUACCGAUGGCGAAGGCAACUGCCUGGGCCUGAACUGACACUGUGACUCGAAAGCGUGGGUAGCAAACAGG
rnacentral:rRNA from 1 species